rnacentral:rRNA from 1 species
UGGGGAAUUUUGCACAAUGGGGGAAACCCUGAUGCAGCGACGCCGCGUGAUUUAGAAGGCCUUCGGGUUGUAAAAAUCUUUUGUAUGGGAAGAAAAUGACAGUACCAUACGAAUAAGGACCGGCUAAUUACGUGCCAGCAGCCGCGGUAAUACGUAAGGUCCGAGCGUUGUCCGGAAUCAUUGGGCGUAAAGGGUACGUAGGCGGAUAAGCAAGUUAGAAGUGAAAUCCUAUAGCUCAACUAUAGUAAGCUUUUAAAACUGCUCAUCUUGAGGUAUGGAAGGGAAAGUUGAAUUCCUAGUGUAGCGGUGAAAUGCGCAGAUAUUAGGAGGAAUACCGGUGGCGAAGGCGACUUUCUGGCCAUAUACUGACGCUGAGGUACGAAAGCGUGGGUAGCAAACAGG